rfam:Otolemur garnettii contig010461, whole genome shotgun sequence.
GCCGGGCGUUGUGGCGGGCGCCUGUGGUCCCAGCUACUCGGGAGGCGGAGGCAGGAGACUUGCUUGAGCCCAGGAGUUGGAGGUUGCUGUGAGCUGUAAUGCCACGGCACUCUGCCCAGGGGGACAGCUUGAGGCUCUGUCUCAAAAAAAAAAAAAGAAAAAUAGGAAUAGAAUUAAUGCUGAACCCCAUUGCAUUCUAUCAAAAAGUAAGUCGGCCACCCAGAUAUGAACUAAGAGGGAUAAAAAAGUCAUGGCCCUCUCAUGGAUAUUCUUUUUUUUUGAGACAGAGCCUCAAGCUAUUCCCCUGGGUAGAGUGCCAUGGCAUCACAACUCACAGCAACCUCCAACUCCUGGGCUCAAGCGAGUCUCCUGCCUCUG